rnacentral:lncRNA from 1 species
UAAUAUUUUUUAGAGUAAACUAAAAAUAUUAGCCCUAUGGUUUCACACUUUCUCACUUUAGUACCCUGUGGUUUAAAGUGUAUCAAUUUAGUGCCAUGUGGUUUCAUUUUUAUCUUUUCAUCAACUUCUUCGUUAAUAUUUUGUUAAAUUAUAUACAACAAGUUCAGAUACUCCAUCUAGGUUUAUCGAAUAUUCACUUUAGCACCUUUUAGUUUUAACUUUGUCACUGAUCUAAUGAAAAAAAUUAGUGAAAUUGAUAAUAAAAAGAGAAUAAUGAAACCACAGAGUAGUAAAGUAAGAAAGUGCGAAACCACAUGGGUGGUAUUUGAAGUUUUCAGUAUUUUUUAAUUUAGAAGGCCAAAAGUUCGAACUACUAGAAUAUACAACUAAUUUACUUAAAACUAUAGAUACAGCAGGUAUAGGUCUCGGUUGUCACUUGGUCUAGCCAGCCUCCCGUCACAUCGAACGUGACUCAGCGCAACACCUACCUUCCGUUAUUUCUAACGCGACUCACUCAAAUCUAAUAUUCCGUCAUAAGACAGAAUGCUAGUCUAUUUUAAAAAAAUUAGUUCAUAUUUUUAAGGCUAAGUUACAGAAAACUCAUUUAUAAAUACCAAUUUUUUUACUUUACUUUUCUAACUUUCAGAAAUCUAUAUUUUAUUCCUCAACAUUUCACGUCGUUGCAUUUAGUUUCCCUCCGCCAGGGUUCCAUUACUAUUACGUCAAUUUCUUAUAAUUUAUACUAAAAAUAUUUUUCAAAAUGACAGAAAUAUAUUUAAAAAAUUAUUUUUUUAUAAAAGAAGUAAGAACAAUUUGAUCAUUUCGCCAUUUCUAUUAACAUCGUAUCCCUCUGAAAAUAUUUUUAAAAUUUUAAAAAAAUAAAAUAUAAAAUUUUAAAAAUUAGAAAAAUAAAUAAAUAAAUAAAUACUAACGGAAAAUUUGGGAAAAACUUUAAAAACCCCCCUGUGGUUCCGCACGUUUUCAUUUUAGUACCCUGUGGUUUAAAGUGCAUCAAGUUAGUACCUUGUGGUUUCUCACUUUAUCACUUUAGUACCCUGUGGUUUAAAGUGUAUCAAGUUAGUACUCUGUGGUUUUAUUUUUGUAUUACCAUGUGGUUUUAUUUUUGUAACAAGUUAGUAUCCUGUGUUUUUUAAACCACAUGGUACUAAAGUGAUAAAGUGCGAAACCACAGGAUACUAAAGUGAUAAACUGCGAAACCACAUGUUACUAAGUUGAUACAUUUUAAACUACAGGGUAUUAAAGUGAAAAAGUGCAAAACCAUAGGGUACUAACUUAAUACAUUUUAAACCACAGGGUACUAAAGUGAAAAAAAGUAAAACCACAAGGGGGUAUUUAAAGUUUUUCCGUAAAUUUUUCUUUUAUUUAACUUAUU